CACAGCCUCUGACUGAUGCAGCUUGGGCAGUCAACUCCAGGUCCUCAUCAUUAACCUCUCUCUAGGUUGUGGCGUAAGUACCAUCCAGAGAACCAUGACUCCCGGCACACGAUAAUGGCCAAGGACAACAGGAACACAGAGGAGACAAAACCAUAGCCAUCGGCACCCAGCAAUCAGCUGCACCUUGCCUGUGGUGGCCAAGGUUUCCUGCUCCAAGUCUGUGGUCUCCACUGGCUGGAUGCUGUUGCUAUGGUAACAACAGCUUAAGAGCCUUAGCGCCCCCCCCCCUCCGGGGUGACAGGCUUGGAUGGAGAUGGCUGAUCAAAUUCCAGAAGCAUCCUCAGCCUUCUGCAUGCAAGGCCUGGGAGAAGAAUGUCAAGUCUGAGCUGCCUGAGGCCUGGAUUCCCAAGAACUCCCCGAGGGAGCCACCCUAGGUUUCAAGAGUCCCCUGAAAUUCACAUGUUGGAAACUGGAGAGAUGGAGGUGGAAAGAUCAAACGUGUGCUCGCUGCCCUCCUUCAAGAUUAAUGUGGGGGGGUGGCCUUCUCAUAAGGAUGGGUUUGGCCCUCCCCACCACCCCCUCACAUAAGCUCCAUCUGCAGGUGACCCUUGCACUGAAGAAGGUCCUCACAGGGGGCAGCCCCUUGACCUUGGACUCCCCAGUCUCUAGAACUGUAAAUCCAAAGGACUUCCAUUGUUUGUAAGUCCCACAGCCUGUGGUCAUCUGUGAUGGCAGCAGAAUAGACAACACAACAACAAGAAGACACCAAGCAGGUGGCCUCGGUACAGCCUCCAGCCUCCCCCAAGCCCGGAGCCUCCCCCAGGCCCGGAGCCUGGUUUUAGGCAGAGAGGAUGUCAGUCCCUGGGCAUCCCCCAGGUCCAGAGCCUGGUUUUAGUGUGUCUACAGAGGGGAUGUCAGUCCCUGGGCAUCCCCCAGGCCCGGAGCCUGGUUUUAGUGUGUCUACAGAGGGGAUGUCAGUCCCUGGAUAUCCUUUCUUACAAUCACCUUCACUGGUGGGUCUGAAACAGGCAGACCUCAGGCUAUGCUUAGAGAAAUCCAGAGUCUUAGAGAAGAGUCUUGAAGCUGUUUGGGGCUGAGAUGUCUCCUGAGGCACCUCGUCCUCCCGAACAUGACUCAGGCUUUCUCUCUCCCUGUCUCAUUCUCCCUGAUGGGAGAAUAGACGUCCUGCUCUUCUCCCAGGGCCUGGAAAACUCAGCCGGGGCUGCCAGGAGGCCAUCUUGGUGAUUCAGAGCCCUGUGAAUACUUCCAACGUCUGUGAUUAAAGGUGACACUAGGGGGCGCUAUGCAGCCCUGUAAAAAGCCAGGGGCUGUAGAUCGAAUGGUCUUUGUCUGUUGCACCCACCCUCACCAGCUUUUAAAGACUGCACCCCGCUCCCCCCACACACACACACCCGCCACCACCGUUGCCCCUGAUGAUUCAGCACAGCUGGUACUGAAUGUGGGACUUGGAGAUGAGGUAACACUCCCUGGGAACCGGGGGUUGUCUGUGGAUUGCGCGGACAAGAUUCCGUGUGGUGCUUUGGGCCUGAGCUGGGGACCCUGGUCCCUGGGGAGAACUCCGCACCAACCAACUUCUUCCCCUCCAUGUUGCGGCCUGUGCGCACCAAAGCCAGCUCCUGGGAGUAGGAGUGCUGGGCCGCCUCCACCUCAGAUGGCCUCUCAAGAGUACUACUGCUGUCCUUUCUGUCUCCUGACAGGCCUCAGCUGGAUGGAACUUGCCUGACAAAUGCCCUUUAGGAACCCCCAAUCCCUGCUUACCUUUCUCCCAGUGGCUCCUGGGGGACACUGUCAAAUGCAAAGCCCUUGUCUUGGGGUCUGUUAAUCUGGGUCUGGAGACAAGAGCCGCCCCUCCCACUACUUUGUUACCCAUGUGAACCCAGGGUUUCCUGGGUUUGGGCUUCCUAAGGACAAUUCUUUGACAAGGAGCCCCCGGCCACCCUUGCCAUAUGAGACUUUACGGUCACAACCCUCAAUAAAAAUGUCCUUUUAUUGAGUCUGGAUUCUAACUCCCACAAGCCCUAUUCUGUGUGGCUAAUCACCCAUCGUCUUGGCGUUUUCGGGAGCUGGAAGAUGGUCCUAAUAUUGUUCUACGGCCAUAUUUGAUGGGGUGGCAUGGGCUCUGUGGAUCCUAUCACAGCCCUGGGAGCUGACGUGGUGGUUCAGAUCCAGUUAGAGGGACGCAGGAGGGCUUGUGUGGGGCGAGUCCUCCAGGGAUGUCUGUGAGUCUGUUCCUUCCGAGGAAAAGCUGCCCCCAGUCAGACGGGAGGCCUUUCUCUGCUUGGG